GUCGGUGUUUAGAGAGGCUGUUUCACCCCAGAGCCAUGUAGCAGACCCCUCAUCCUCUCUACCGGACAGCCACAUCACGACGAACGAUCAACAUGCGUCUUCUUCUUUGGAAAACUCUUAUGCUCCUGUUAGUGAGUGUGUGUGGUGUGGACUUCACUCCGGGGGUCCAAGAGUUCAAUCGCACGUACUGCUCCAGGAACCCCACCAUCCACAUGAACCCCCACUGUGACAACAGCUUCCUCAUCGGGGACGAGUGUCGUGCUCGGGUGAAUGGACACGACACAGAGAUCGUCCUAACGCCCUUCAAGCACGACAGAAACAAGGGGACGAUGGAGGUGCUGCAGCCUGUGAACUUCACUCACCACUCACUCUGCUGUCUGGGGGAUGACAAAGAGAUGGAGAAAAUCGAGAACUACAAGCCAAUAAACUGCACUGAACCGGACUCUGCUGCUGCCACUCAGGGUAAGUGUGAUUGUGGCAGAGUGGUUAUCCUGUCUCCUCCCUCU
ensembl:lncRNA